GACGUAGGGUCCAAGCGUUGUCCGGAUUUACUGGGCGUAAAGAGCGCGUAGGCGGCCCGCUAAGUCGAACGUGAAAUCCCCGGGCUCAACCCGGGAACUGCGUCCGAUACUGGUGGGCUCGAAUCCGGGAGAGGGAUGCGGAAUUCCAGGUGUAGCGGUGAAAUGCGUAGAUAUCUGGAGGAACACCGGUGGCGAAGGCGGCAUCCUGGACCAAUACUGACGCUGAGGAGCGAAAGCCAGGGGAGCAAACGGG
rnacentral:rRNA from 1 species